UUACCUUCUUUCCUUCCUUCCUUCCUUCCUUCCUUCCUCCCUUCCUCCCUUCCUCCCUUUUCUCAUUUACCCUCCUAGAUUCUCUAGCUGGAGCCUAGUCAAUUGGAUGGAAAAAAGACAUAUCAACAAGAAACAGCAUGUGGAUUUAUUUCACAUAAUUUUAAUAUAACCCUGGAGUUUCCACAUGGAAAUAAAGACUAGAGGUCAAGCUUGAGCACUUUAUACUAGAUCUGAAGAAGAAAAUGCCACAGAGAAAUGUCACAAGACAAAAGAACAUGAUCUCAUGGGCGUAAACGCAGUGGCCUUGGCGAGACCUGCUCCUUCCUCUUCUGACACAGCCGUGCUGCUUCCCUGUCGGGCUGGAGCGAGCUGCUGUCAGUGGGCGUCUUUCCACCUGCCUCAGGCGUGGGGCCCAGCCCCUUCCUGGUUGCCCUGUGCACAGCGCUUGCCUACCUGGCAGUUGCCCUCGGUGGGUCUUCCUGCCAAGGCCGUCCUUUCCCUUCACGUGGGUCAAGGCAGUCGGAAGUGGAAAGCAUCAUCCUGUUUUCUGUCAAAUUCCCUUUUGUUGUUGUUGUUGUUGCUAUUGACACUCAGGACUGACUUUCUCCAGAGACGUGUAGAGAGAUAGAGAGAUAGAGAGGGCAAGACGCCACAGUACUGACGUUUCUCCUAGUCUGGUGGAGGCUUGAACCUGAGAUGUGAAUGUGGCAAAGCCCGCACACUACCCAUCCGUGCCAUUGUGCUGGCCCUGCCAUGCGGUUUCAAAAGCUGCUAUUUCCCCAUGCCAUUUGCCUGAAAAUCAGCAUGUGAAUAUUUCCAAAGCCCCUUCUGUCCUUACAGUCCACGCUAUCUUUCUGGUGAACCGAGCAGGGCUAGGGGAUAGCAUAAAGGUUUCGCAAAAAAAAAGAAAAGAAACUCUCACGCCUGAGACUCCAAAGUCGUAGGACCAAUCCCCAGUACCACCAUAGGACCAAUCCCCAUAGGACUCUGGUAAAACCAAAACAAAAAUGAACAAGCAAACAGAUUAGCUGACCAGUGCUGUCAUAUGGCCAGGAAGAGAUGGCAGAGGUUAACGCACACCAGACUUGUAUGUCUGAGGGCCACGGGUCCCAGCUUCAGCUCCCGGAACCCUGUGAGGAGAGCUCAGUGCUGCUCUGAUCUCUCUCAUCAUAAAUAAAUAGUUAAACCUG